UUCCCUGUAGCGCAAUGGAUAGCGCGUUCGACUUCUAAUCAAAAGGUCGUGGGUUCGAAAUCCCACUUGGGAUG